rnacentral:rRNA from 1 species
UAUGUGAUCGUCUCUCGCAUAUCAAUAAGCGGAGGAAAAGAAACUAACAAGGAUUCCCCUAGUAACGGCGAGUGAAGCGGGAAGAGCUCAAAUUUGAAAUCUUAAAGGGUUUCCCUUUACGAAUUGUAGUUUAAAGAAGUGUUUUCUGUUGAGGUUUUGGUAAAAGUUCUUUGGAAUAGGACAUCAUAGAGGAUGAGAAUCCCGUAUUUGACCUUUACUUUCAACUUUGUGAUACACUUUCAAAGAGUCGGAUUGUUUGGGAAUGCAGUCCAAAAUGGGUGGUAAAUUUCAUCUAAAGCUAAAUAUUGGCGAGAGACCGAUAGCGAACAAGUACCGUGAGGGAAAGAUGAAAAGAACUUUGAAAAGAGAGUUAAACAGUACGUGAAAUUGUCAAAAGGGAAGCGUUUGACACCAGUGUUGUUUUUCUGAAAAUCAAUUAAAGAACUGUUUAUGCUAAGUUGUUUAGACUUUAUCAGCUAUCUGUUUAGUUUUGAGCUUUUCUUUAAUGCACUUUUCAGUUAACAAGUCAACAUCAAUUUCUUUUGCUGUAAAAAAGCUUGAGGAAGGUGGCUUGAGAUUCGUCUUAAGUGUUUAUAGCCUCUUGCCUAUGCAGUCGGAGAGAUUGAAGGUCUGCAGCGUAGAUCCUUCGGGGCUAAAUGCAUUUGUGCUAAGUUAUAGCAUUUUAUAGACAACUUGUUGACUAUGAUUUGUCUUGUAGCUUACUCGCUUAUGUUAUUUUACCUACGCUUAGGAUGUUGAUCUACAGAGCGAGAGU